GACGAACGCUGGCGGCGCGCCUAACACAUGCAAGUCGAACGAGCGAGAGAGAGCUUGCUUUCUCGAGCGAGUGGCGAACGGGUGAGUAACGCGUGAGGAACCUGCCUCAAAGAGGGGGACAACAGUUGGAAACGACUGCUAAUACCGCAUAAGCCCACGACCCGGCAUCGGGUAGAGGGAAAAGGAGCAAUCCGCUUUGAGAUGGCCUCGCGUCCGAUUAGCUAGUUGGUGAGGUAACGGUCCACCAAGGCGACGAUCGGUAGCCGGACUGAGAGGUUGAACGGCCACAUUGGGACUGAGACACGGCCCAGACUCCUACGGGAGGCAGCAGUGGGGAAUAUUGCACAAUGGGGGAAACCCUGAUGCAGCGACGCCGCGUGGAGGAAGAAGGUCUUCGGAUUGUAAACUCCUGUUGUUGAGGAAGAUAAUGACGGUACUCAACAAGGAAGUGACGGCUAACUACGUG
rnacentral:rRNA from 1 species